GACGAACCGUGCGAACGUUGUUCGGAAUCACUGGGCUUAAAGGGCGCGUAGGCGGGCAAGCAAGUCCGGGGUGAAAGCCCCCAGCUCAACUGGGGAAGUGCCUUGGAAACUGCUUGUCCUGAGGGAGGUAGGGGCCUGUGGAACUUCGGGUGGAGCGGUGAAAUGCGUUGAUAUCCGAAGGAACGCCGGUGGCGAAAGCGACGGGCUGGACCUCUUCUGACGCUGAGGCGCGAAAGCCAGGGGAGCAAACGGG
rnacentral:rRNA from 1 species